GGUGAUGUAGCUGGGGAAACUGUGAACACCUUCAACUUAGUGUUUCUGGUUAGCUUAACUUCCUGUUACAAGUUUGUGAAUGUAGUUGAAGUAGUUGGCUAGAUAUUGAAAUGAGAAUAUUCUCAAUUGCAAGAAGGUCAAAAUAUGCAGAUUAGCAGAUAGAGAAAUGGAGCAACCAUGCAUACCACCAAACAAAAUCAUCUAACUAGUUCUUAUCACUGCUAAUCUGAAAAUUAAUUUCAAUGGGUAUGUACAAGAAGUUUUUUUUUUUUUAAUGAUAGAUAUUUUGGGAGGGGAGGUGAAUCAAACCCUAGUUAUCAGUGGAUUCCUAUACAUGCUUUAGGCAUCUACAAGAGUUGAACUAACAAGAAGCGACUUUUUUGUUUUCCCACCUACGCUAACCAAUUCCCAACAUUUGCAACUAUAUAAACCAAACACUAGCCUAAAUUUUUCAACCAGUCAACUCAACUUUUUGUCUCCUGAAGCCCUAAGCAUUAUUCAAGAUGGCUAAUUCCAGAUUUCUCAUGUUAGCUCUUCUCAUAUCUCUGACAAUUUGUCAGGUAUUACUAAUUUAAAUUAAAUUCGACUAAUUUAAUUUUCAUAAAUAUAGAUAUCCUAUUCGUUUAUAUUUCGUUAUCAUCAAUUUAGUAAUCGGUCCAAUUUGUUUAAAACAUUGUUUCAUGGGUGAAAAUUGGUCAAAUUGUUUUUUUUUUUUCAAAAUUUAAAAAUGAUACUUUCAAAAAUUAUACUUGAACAACAAUUCUAAAUAGGCACUUAAUAAACGAGAGUAAUGAACUUCCCAAAAAUGUAUAAAAAAUAUUUCACCGAGUAAAAUUUUUUUUUUUUUAAAAAAAAAAAUUAUUUUAUUUAAAAAUAAUUAAUUUUUUCGGUUGGCCAAUUCUUGUGUAUAUACCAAAUAUUAAAAAUGCAAAUAAUAUUUUUAUAUAAAGUAUUUUUCAUGGAGCAAAGGCUUAUUCAUUAUGGAUAAAACUGUAUUUAAUUAACUUGGCCAUGACUAAAAUGGAUUGGAACCGAUGGUUCCAUUUUGAAUCAGAAUUAGUUUUUAAAAUAUAGAUGAUUGGAUUUUUCCUAUAAUAGUCGAUGGUUUUGACUGUAUAGAGCAUUUCUUGUGGGUGAAUUACUGGGUACGUAUACCCAUCACCCUAUCUUCAUCCAGAUGAAACAAGUUGCAAUAUUCAGAGCAUUUCUCCAAUCAAUUGGGAAAGAAUGUAACGAAUGACAGACUAGCUUUUUUUCAUUUAUAGCAUAUGACUUUCUUACCCAUUUUGUGUUUCCCUGAUAGAUUCUUAAAUUCCCGAACUGGUAAUGUAAUAAAUUCAAGCAGUGUACAGAGAAUUUUCAACCAACACAGGAAAAAAAAAAUGUACAUCUGAGCAUAUCUCAAAUCCAAAACUAGAAUUCUAUAAAUUCUGAUUCAUUUUCCUCUCCAUAAGUACAAUUCCAAGAAAUCAGUUUCCCUCCCCUCUAAUCCAAAUGUUCUAAGAAUUCAAGAAGUUUUAACAGUCUCUUUCCAGUUUAGUUAGCCAUGUCAAGAAAGAGCAAGGAUGGCCCAAAGUUGGAGAUGGUGAAAAUACGAAGGGACAGUAAUUUUUUGGUGACAUUCUCCAAACGUAGAUAGUGUUUUUAAGAAAGCUAGUGAACUAGCCACUCCUUGUGGUUCUGAAAUCACCCUUAUUGCCUUCUCACCUAAAAUUAGAGCCCUUCGAAGCUCUAACAUUGAGCUAGGGGAUUUAUUUGCUUUAUUCCUUAGAAUAUUAUCAUACCAUUUAAUAUCACACGUAAGACAAUGAUAUAACAAGAAAUGAAAGCAACAGAAAUGCUUCUGUUUAUUCAAGUAUCAAUUACACUAGCAACAAAAAACAAAUGGAUUCUGCUUUCUCAAUAGAAACGAAAAGUGUGACUAAAUAAACCCCUCCUAUUUCCCACCAAAAGGAUAAAAAACAAACCCAAAUUUUCAAUAAUCCAUGAUUUACAACUUCCCAUUUUACAAAAUACAUAUGUAGGCAUUCGUACAGUCACAAACAUUUCUCAAGAAACGAAAGGAAUAGCAGAGAUCAUAUAGUUUUAUAAAAGUCCAAAUGAAAUCAAAUAAACCAUAUGUCUCGGCUUCUAUUGGAAAAAAAAAAUGAAAUGGGAAAAUACUAUGCUAGAUGGGCCUUGAAUUCUUGGAUCUUCUCAGCAUCCAGGCUCUGGCGACUAAAGGCCCCCAGGAAAUAUUUAUCUAUCUUAAGUCCAUAUAUGCAAACAAUGAGAAAUGAAAGGUUUAUUUCUUUAUUUACAGUACUUAUCUCAUUGUGAAAUUGAAUUUCUUGAUCUGAUAUUUUUCCAUGUACUAUUGUAUACUUAAUUUUUUCUUUUUUAGAAUACGACAUGACAUUCCAGUAUUUUCAGAUCUCUAACUUUCUAGACAAACAUUCAUACUUCCAUGAAAUGGAUGAAUCCCCUAUUCAGAUCUAAUAAAUGUUCUACAAAAAGCAAGGGUAAGAAAAAUGCAAGAUUACUAAAUCUUAUCAGUAUGACCCAACUAGUUGUUCGAGUAGUAAAUGCAUUAAGACUACAAUUUGAUACAAUAGCUAAAAAAUCCCUCCUCAUACUAAUGUCUCCAUAGAAAAAGAUAAAACAGAAAUACAAGAGUUCUCUGUGCAUGUAUGAUGGAGAGACAGAGAGAUCGUAGUAAUAGUGCUAGAUCUAUUAGAGAAUGUGAAUGCGAAUAUGAAUGCAGUAAUGGAAAUAGUAUUUCCAUGUAGAAUAAAAGAAAUACAUCCUUUAAAGUGCUUCGGAUAUAAAAAUGAUGACAAAUUUAAGAUGUUAACAGGUUCAGUUGUGGCAAGAUUGCGAGUAGUAGAGAAGCAAAAAGGUGCUAGCCAGGUCCCUAUGUAGAAUCGAACUACAAACCCUCAGUUUUAAAGACUGAUGCUCUACCAUUGAGCUAUAGGGACUUCUAUGUCGACAUUCUUCUGAUAUUUUAUUGAAACGUUGAUUUUUUGGGACCACUAAAAAGGCAACUUGCUAGAAUUGUUACAUCCCCAAGCAACUUUGUCUUACAUCCAGGUUCCAGAAUCCAUUGAUGCAGACAAUGAAAAAAUGAGAAGAAAACGUCCCUUUAUGAACUUAAAACUUGUAUAUAUUAUGUUCACCAGGAGGGUUUUUCAUCCCUAACAAUUAUAGCACUAUGCAGCUAUAAUAGAAAGAAAGGUUGCUCCAUGUGUUUUGAUAGAAAAAAAAAAGGUCUUGUGCACAACGAGGUGUUUUCAUGGGUUGGCUGUGCUUUUUACAGGGGUAGUGGGAGUUUGUCCAGCGUACAACUUUCCCUUGAGAACAUUCGAAAAAAAAAAAAAGAAAAUCACAACUCCCCAACAGAUCUUGCUCCCCAUAUUUGCUGAUUUAUCUUAUUCUACCAUUGGGUAAAUAAACCACAAACAUAGGUCCCCAUGUGUGUUUCCAUCUAAGACUAUAACAAAAACCAAGGGCAGACCACCUCUUAGUGCUUCCUACUCUUGCCGUGAAAUCUUAUUCUACCAUUGAUUAAAGGAACCAUAAACAGAGGCCUCCUUUUACUUGUCCAUCUAUGAAAAUUUUAAAUAAAUAGAUAAAUAAAUAAAACCUGUAAGGCACCCAUGUCUCUUAUGAGGACUCAGAAGAAUAUGGUAAAAGCAAAAGGUCCCUACUCGCCUCAAAGAAUCUAACAAUCAUAUAGUAAGAAAAUAAAAGCAAUAGCAACCCUUCCUCUUAUUCAAGAACCCAUUGCACUUGCGACAUGAAACAAAUGGAUUCUACUUUCUCAAAUAGAACCUAAAACAUUUCGAUCAAGUAUAUAUUCUUCCAUAUGAUUGAAUGUGAGUGUUUCUUCGCAUGAUUGAAUGUGAGUGUUUUUUCGCAUGAUUGAAUACUCAACUUUUGAAGUCAAACCAGUAGAAAUCAAAGUGCAAGCAACUAAAAGCUCCUAUUUCCCAACAAAAAAAAGGAAAGAACAAAACCCAAAUUCUUCCAUGAUCAUGUAAUUUUAAAGAAAAUCCCAAUUGAAAUCGAAUAAGUCAUAUUUCCCUACUUCAAAAAUUUUAAGAAAAAAAAAAUGGAACGGGAAAAUUACCUUGCCAGAUCUGAAUUGUUAGAUUGUAUUUGCAUGUGUGAGUUUUAGCCGACACUUUCCCCCCAACUUGGAUUUUCUUUGUUGUGUUCUCCUUUCGCUCCCUCACAUUAUCUCUUUGCAGUCCUCUCUUCUCUUGCUCAAGCUCAAAUGCUCCUAUCAUUUUUUUUUAGCCAAAAGCUCAAUUCAGCAGUUAACAGUGGGUGAUUGAGUUUUAAGCACCGAAUCAUAAUUGCGUUUGAUUAACUAUAUAAAUUUGGUUAAUUAACCCUUGAUGAUCGCAGAGCUCGGGAAAGAUACGGCAGCCCUGCCACAGUGCUACUGGCUAGAGGUCGGGGAACUGGGUUUUUAUCAAACACAC
rnacentral:lncRNA from 1 species